GACGAACGCUGGCGGCGUGCUUAACACAUGCAAGUCGAACGGAAAGGCCCUGCUUUUGUGGGGUGCUCGAGUGGCGAACGGGUGAGUAACACGUGAGUAACCUGCCCUUGACUUUGGGAUAACUUCAGGAAACUGGGGCUAAUACCGGAUAGGAGCUCCUGCUGCAUGGUGGGGGUGGGAAAGUUUCGGCGGUUGGGGAUGGACUCGCGGCUUAUCAGCUUGUUGGUGGGGUAGUGGGUUACCAAGGCUUUGACGGGUAGCCGGCCUGAGAGGGUGACCGGCCACAUUGGGCCUGAGGUACGGCCCAGACUCCUACGGGAGGCAGCAGUGGGGAACAUUGCACAAUGGGCGGAAGCCUGAUGCAGCAACGUCGCGUGCGGGAUGUCGGCCUUCGGGUUGUAAACCGCGUUCGCCUGUGACGAAGCGUGAGUGACGGUAAUGGGUAAAGAAGCACCGGCUAACUACGUG
rnacentral:rRNA from 1 species